GAUGAACGCUGGCGGCGUGCCUAAUACAUGCAAGUCGAGCGAACAGACGAGGAGCUUGCUCCUCUGACGUUAGCGGCGGACGGGUGAGUAACACGUGGAUACCCUACCUAUAAGACUGGGAUAACUUCGGGAAACCGGAUCUAAUACCGGAUAAUAUAUUGAACCGCAUGGUUCUUUAGUGAACGACGGUUUUGCUGUCACUUAUAGAUGGAUCCGCGCCGCUUUAGCUAGUUGGUAAGGUAACGGCUUACCAAGGCAACGAUGCGUAGCCGACCUGAGAGGGUGAUCGGCCACACGGGAACUGAGACACGGUCCAUACUCCUACGGGAGGCAGCAGUAGGGAAUCUGCGGCAAUGGGCGGAAGCCUGACGGAGCAAGGCCGCGUGUGUGAUGAAGGUCUUCGGAUCGUAAAACUCUGUUAUGAGGGAAGAACAACUGUGAAAGUAAAUAUGGCCGUCUUGACGGUACCUAAAGAGAAAGCCACGGCUAACUACGUG
rnacentral:rRNA from 1 species